rnacentral:misc_RNA from 1 species
UUUUUUUUUUUUUUUUUUUUUUUGGUUGGGGUUUUUCCCAGCGUGGGAUGGCUUCUGGUCGCGUUAGUGGCGCAUGAAAAGAGAUGUGCAAAACUUAGCAGCACUUCAACGCUUGUUGCUAGUGUGUGCCCUUAUUGCUUUGCGUGCGCCUGUUGCGCGCCAGCCCAACCUUCGCACCCGCACCCGCCCCACUGCCAUCGCCUCUCCUAAUCCAAUAACAAAUCACUCUCCCACUAUCUUCCUCGACAAUAACGGACUUGAAACUGAUAAGAUCAUCACCACGACUGAUCCUAUCGUAGAGAUCUCGGUUUCUGAUCCGCGAUCCAUGUCGAAAGCGCGAGUUUAUGCCGAUGUUAACGUUUUGCGUCCCAAGGAGUACUGGGAUUACGAGUCUCUCAC